rnacentral:rRNA from 1 species
GACGAACGCUGGCGGCGUGCUUAACACAUGCAAGUCGAACGGAAAGGCCCUGCUUUUGUGGGGUGCUCGAGUGGCGAACGGGUGAGUAACACGUGAGUAACCUGCCCUUGACUUUGGGAUAACUUCAGGAAACUGGGGCUAUUACCGGAUAGAGGCCCCUGCUGCAGGGUGGGGUUGGGAAAGUUUCGGCGGUUGGGGAUGGACUCGCGGCUUAUCAGCUUGUUGGUGGGGUAGUGGCUUACCAAGGCUUUGACGGGUAGCCGGCCUGAGAGGGUGACCGGCCACAUUGGGACUGAGAUACGGCCCAGACUCCUACGGGAGGCAGCAGUGGGGAAUAUUGCACAAUGGGCGGAAGCCUGAUGCAGCAACGCCGCGUGCGGGAUGACGGCCUUCGGGUUGUAAACCGCUUUCGCCUGUGACGAAGCGUGAGUGACGGUAAUGGGUAAAGAAGCACCGGCUAACUACGUG